UGCAGUGGUGGCACUUCGGCUUCGGCUCC
rnacentral:sRNA from 1 species